rnacentral:rRNA from 2 species
AAAGCAGCAUCGCGGUGGCGGAGCGUCGUUUGCGACGCCCAACACACAAAACAAGCGGUGAGUGCUUUGGGGUGGGGUGACUGCGUACCUUUUGUAUAAUGGGUCAGCGACUUAUAUUCUGUAGCAAGGUUAACCGUAUAGGGGAGCCGAAGGGAAACCGAGUCUUAACUGGGCGUUAAGUUGCAGGGUAUAGACCCGAAACCCGGUGAUCUAGCCAUGGGCAGGUUGAAGGUUGGGUAACACUAACUGGAGGACCGAACCGACUAAUGUUGAAAAAUUAGCGGAUGACUUGUGGCUGGGGGUGAAAGGCCAAUCAAACCGGGAGAUAGCUGGUUCUCCCCGAAAGCUAUUUAGGUAGCGCCUCGUGAACUCAUCUUCGGGGGUAGAGCACUGUUUCGGCUAGGGGGUCAUCCCGACUUACCAACCCGAUGCAAACUGCGAAUACCGAAGAAUGUUAUCACGGGAGACACACGGCGGGUGCUAACGUCCGUCGUGAAGAGGGAAACAACCCAGACCGCCAGCUAAGGUCCCAAAGUCACAGUUAAGUGGGAAACGAUGUGGGAAGGCUCAGACAGCCAGGAUGUUGGCUUAGAAGCAGCCAUCAUUUAAAGAAAGCGUAAUAGCUCACUGGUCGAGUCGGCCUGCGCGGAAGAUGUAACGGGGCUAAACUGUGCACCGAAGCUGCGGCAGCGACGCUUAUGCGUUGUUGGGUAGGGGAGCGUUCUGUAAGCCUGCGAAGGUGUCCUGUGAGGGAUGCUGGAGGUAUCAGAAGUGCGAAUGCUGACAUAAGUAACGAUAA